CCUACGGGAGGCAGCAGUGAGGAAUAUUGGUCAAUGGGCGCGAGCCUGAACCAGCCAAGUAGCGUGAAGGAUGACUGCCCUACGGGUUGUAAACUUCUUUUAUAAAGGAAUAAAGUGAGGCACGUGUGCCUUUUUGUAUGUAUUUUAUGAUUAAGGAUCGGCUAACUCCGUGUAAGGAGCCGCGGUAAUACGGAGGGUCCGAGCGUUAGCCGGAUUUAUUGGGUUUAAAGGGAGCGUAGAUGGGUUGUUAAGUCAGUUGUGAAAGUUUGCGGCUCAACCGUAAGAUUGCAAUUGAUACUGGCAGCCUUGAGUACAGGUGAGGUAGGCGGAAUUCGUGGUGUAGCGGUGAAAUGCUUAGAUAUCACGAAGAACUCCGAUUGCGAAGGCAGCCUACUAACCUGCCACUGACAUUGAGGCUCGAAAGUGUGGGUAUCAAACAGGAUUAGAUACCCUUGUAGUC
rnacentral:rRNA from 1 species